rnacentral:misc_RNA from 1 species
CAGAGUUGCAAAACUCCCACAAACCAUCGCGAAUCUUACCCGUACGGUUGCCUCGGCGCUGGCGGUCCGGAAGGCCCUCGGGCCCCCCGGAUCCUCGGGUCUCCCGCUCGCGGAGGCUGCCCGCCGGAGUGCCGAAACCAAACUCUUGAUAUUUUAUGUCUCUCUGAGUAAACUUUUAAAUAAGUCA